GUCCUUCGCGAAUCUUUUUGCGGUCUGGGCUUGCUGUAUAUAACUACCUAGCCGGGAAGCCCUUACCCCAAAAAGCAUUCGCGGAGGG
ensembl:miRNA